CAAUGGAAGAAAUUAACAAAUUGAACCAAUUUUUACAGGAAGAAGCUGCCUCUGACCAAAAGAAAGAGCAGAGAAAACAGGAUUAUAUCAUGUCGAUGGAGCACAGAAUUAAGGCUAUGGAAGCUGAGAUGGUGGAAAUAAAAUCUCGUACAAUUUCUAUGAAAACAGAACUGAGAUUACAUAAAAAAAGCUAUAGAGCUGAAUUGAAAACUGAAGAAUCUUUGGAAUACGAACUUGAAAAUAUUUCCGGCACUCGUGUGAAAGUUCAGCACACCAACUCCAAGGUUGUCAUUUCGAAAAGGAGGAACAGACAGUCACAAGUCCAAACUCACACCAAAUCUGGCUCAGGGGGAGCUUAUGACAGAAGCCUUCAGAAUGAUCUUGGACUCAACAGAACAGGAGCAUGUAGUGAGGGCCAUGAUAUCAGUCCAAUGUCGAAACGGAAAGCUUGGUGGGAUAGCUUAUUAAUGUUAGUUAUGGUUUUGCUUCUCUAUAGUGUUUCAGGUUUCUAAUAGUAUUGUAUUUUAAUUUUGAUGAACCACUGAAUUGUAUAGCUGACUCAAAAUUCUCAUUUUCCAGACAUGCUCCCUUGUUAACCUGAGUCAGUAAAUGGAAC
rnacentral:lncRNA from 1 species